rnacentral:rRNA from 1 species
UGGGGAAUAUUGCACAAUGGGGGAAACCCUGAUGCAGCGACGCCGCGUGAGCGAUGAAGGCUUUCGAGUCGUAAAGCUCUUUCCUAUGGGAAGAUAAUGACGGUACCAUAGAAGAAAGCCCCGGCUAAUUACGUGCCAGCAGCCGCGGUAAUACGUAAGGGGCGAGCGUUGUCCGGAAUUAUUGGGCGUAAAGAGUGCGUAGGCGGCAAAUUAAGUCAGAUGUGAAAACUAAGGGCUCAACCCAUAGAUUGCAUCUGAAACUGAUAUGCUUGAGUCAAGGAGAGGAAAGUGGAAUUCCUAGUGUAGCGGUGGAAUGCGUAGAUAUUAGGAGGAAUACCGGUGGCGAAGGCGACUUUCUGGACUUGAACUGACGCUGAGGCACGAAAGCGUGGGGAGCAAACAGG